rnacentral:rRNA from 1 species
CACGUAGGUGGCGCUACAAGUUGGAUGUGAAAGCUCCCGGCUUAACUGGGAGAAGGUCAUUCAAAACUGUAGUGCUCGAGGCUGAAAGAGGAGAGUGGAAUUCCCGGUGUAGUGGUGGAAUGCGUAGAUAUCGGGAGGAACACCAGUGGCGAAAGCGGCUCUCUAGUUCACGCCUGACGCUGAGGUGCGAAAGCGUGGGUAGCGAACG